rnacentral:rRNA from 1 species
GUGAUCAUACCAGUACUAAUGCACCGGAUCCCAUCAGAACUCCGCAGU